rnacentral:snRNA from 1 species
GUGCUCACUUUGGCAGCACAUAUACUAAAAUUGGAACGAUACAGAGAAGAUUAGCAUGGCCUCUGUGCAAGGAUGACACACAAAUUCGUGAAGCAUUCCAUAUUUUU